UACGGGGGGGGCAAGCGUUGUUCGGAAUUACUGGGCGUAAAGGGUCUGUAGGUGGCCAACUAAGUCAGACGUGAAAUCCCUCAGCUUAACUGGGGAACUGCGUCUGAUACUGGAUGGCUUGAGUGCAGGAGAGGAACGCGGAGUUCCAGGUGUAGCGGUGAAAUGCGUAGAUAUCUGGAGGAACACCGGUGGCGAAGGCGGCGUUCUGGACUGCAACUGACACUGAGAGACGAAAGCCAGGGGAGCAAACGGG
rnacentral:rRNA from 1 species